ensembl:snRNA U6 U6 spliceosomal RNA
GAGCUCGCUUCGGCAGCACAUAUACUAAAAUUGGAAUGAUACAGAGAAGAUUAGCAUGGCCCCUGCGCAAGGAUGACAUGCAAAUAAAUGCCAACACUGAGAUGACA